CUACUUACCUGGCUGGGGAAAUACCACAAUCAACAAGGUUCUCCCCGGCGAAACCCGCACCUCUGUAACUCCGGAGGCACUGAUCCAUGCGGCUUCACCACAUAAGGGAAUUUCGGCUGCAUAAUUUACGGUAUUGGUGGACUGCAACAAUACACUUUGGAGAUCCACUC
rnacentral:snRNA from 1 species